rnacentral:rRNA from 1 species
CGUGCAUUUAUCAGACCAAAAACCGGCCGCGUCUUCGGGCGCGUUCGCCUUGGUGACUCUGGAUAACUUUGCGGAUCGCACGGUCUAGCACCGGCGACGGAUCAUUCAAGUGUCUGCCCUAUCAACUUUCGUCGGUACGGUAUUUGCCUACCGAGGUUCUUACGGGUGACGGGGAAUCAGGGUUCGAUUCCGGAGAGGGAGCCUGAGAAACGGCUACCACAUCCAAGGAAGGCAGCAGGCGCGCAAAUUACCCAUUCCCGACGCGGGGAGGUAGUGACGAAAAAUAACAAUGCAGGACUCGUUCGAGGCCCUGUAAUUGGAAUGAGUACACUUUAAAAGCUUUAACGAGUAUCCAUUGGAGGGCAAGUCUGGUGCCAGCAGCCGCGGUAAUUCCAGCUCCAAAAGUAUAUAUUUAAGUUGUUGCGGUUAAAAAGCUCGUAGUUGGAUUUUGGGCGCAGGCGGCCGGUCCGUCGCAAGGCGUGUACUGGACGUCCUGGCCUUCCCUCCGGUUCUCCGCCGGUGCUCUUGACUGAGUGUCGGCGGCGGCCGGAACGUUUACUUUGAAAAAAUUACAGUGUUCAAAGCAGGCUCUCGAGCCUGGAUAAUGGUGCAUGGAAUAAUGGAAUAGGACCUCGGUUCUAUUUUGUUGGUUUUCGGAGCGCGAGGUAAUGAUUAAGAGGGACAGACGGGGGCAUUCGUACUGUGCCGUUAGAGGUGAAAUUCUUGGAUCGGCGCAAGACGAACGACUGCGAAAGCAUUUGCCAAGAAUGUUUUCUUUAAUCAAGAGCGAAAGUCAGAGGUUCGAAGACGAUCAGAUACCGUCCUAGUUCUGACUAUAAACGAUGCCAACUAGCGAUCGGGGGGCGUUACAUUGACGACCCCUCCGGCAGCUUACGGGAAACCAAAGUCUUUGGGUUCCGGGGGAAGUAUGGUUGCAAAGCUGAAACUUAAAGGAAUUGACGGAAGGGCACCACCAGGAGUGGAGCCUGCGGCUUAAUUUGACUCAACACGGGAAAUCUCACCCGGCCCGGACACAGUGAGGAUUGACAGAUUGAGAGCUCUUUCUUGAUUCUGUGGGUGGUGGUGCAUGGCCGUUCUUAGUUGGUGGAGCGAUUUGUCUGGUUAAUUCCGAUAACGAACGAGACUCUGGCUUGCUAAAUAGUUACGCGACCAUCCCGGUCGGCGUUUAACUUCUU